GAUUAGGCCCAUCAGGCCCAGAAAAUCGUAAUUAUGAAGGAAAAAAAAAAAGCGCUGAGAGCGAUAAUUGACAGCGACCAGAAUCGAUCUGUUUUUAUCACGCCGCCGCCUCGAGUGGACGCCGCCGCCUCUUCCACCGGGCACACGCCGGCGCCACCUCCACGCCGCCGCCGCCUCUUCCUGAACAGCGUCCACCGCCUCCGCCUGGCACACGCCGCCGCCUCCAGAUGACGCCGCCGCCAGCGGCUCCACCGGGCAGAUGCUAGCGCCCUCUCCACGCCGCCGCUGCCGCCUCGUCCUGACCCGCGGCCACCCCGUCCACCUCCCACGUGGACACCGCGCCGUUCCUCCUGCUCGACCAGUUUGUGUAGAACUGCAGAACACCACCGGUCCAAUCUCCUCCUGGAGACAUGGAUGAUCAAGGCUCUGGUGAGGAGAAGCACGAAGAGUAUCGCCGCAUGGUUAGCAGGACGUUCGCAAGCGAGGAGGAAGGAAAUCAGUUCUAUGAUGGUUCAAUGUUAGAAAGGAGGAGGUGAAAUACUUGCGAGGCAACAGGGUUUAGAGUCUGAAUUAUUAGCAUUGAGGGUGUGUAGUGAGACCAGCACCACUGUAAGAUUUUGCUUCUCGGUUGGUGGCGAACAAUGCUGCAAGUGAAUUAUUAGCAGGGAUAGUCUGUGCUGGUGUUGCUACUGGGUCCUUUGUUUCUUCUCAUAUCAAGGAGUAAGAAGUACUUAAUGUUUGCUUCCA